UUCUAUAGUAAAACAAUACUCUUGAAUUUUCAAAAAUGUGGGUUAUCGGUAUGAAAAAAUCUUGAUCUGCCAAUGAAUCUAGUACUAACCAUGUUCGAAGGCCUGGUGCUCAAAAAGCGAACAGACACGCAGACAUUAAACUUGUUUUGAUCGUUUUGGCUAUAAAAAUUAUCAGAUUUUCAAGGAAUUAAGUUAAUUCUAUUUCCAGAAAAGGCUCAUGUACCGUACGGAUAAAAUAAAGAGAAUCAUCAAUAGACCCAGGAAAGAAAUAAUUAAUCAAAUUCACCCGGGGACAAAUUCCUAGGUUCUAUAGCGGGGCCUAAAGGAACGAUCGUCAAUGAUGAUUGGUCGGCUAUGGUAUUGUUUGAUCGCAAGGUCCGGCAUAAACCUUCCUAAAUUUAAUCGGAACAGCACAUAUUCGACAGCGAGUUGGAAUGCCCAUACCGAUAUAUUACAGUUUGUACUGAGGCAGUACAGAAUUGAGUCCUGUGCAUCCGUUUAAAAAGAAUUCCCAAACUUUUUCAAUAAUUCAACGCAAAGAAAAAUAGAAAAGCUUUGCCGCAUUAAAAUCACUUUAAAAAUCGACGCUACAUUACGCGGGUAAGUUUUGCGAAAGAGUCCCAGCGACCCACAAAAAAAAA
rnacentral:sRNA from 1 species